rnacentral:rRNA from 1 species
CCUACGGGAGGCAGCAGUGGGGAAUCUUGGGCAAUGGGGGCAACCCUGACCCAGCGACGCCGCGUGGGGGAUGACGGCCCUCGGGUUGUAAACCCCUGUGAGGGGGGACGAACCGUGCCGGGCGAACAGGCCGGCGCGUUGACGGUACCCCCACAGCAAGCCCCGGCUAACUCCGUGCCAGCAGCCGCGGUAAUACGGAGGGGGCGAGUGUUGUUCGGAAUUACUGGGCGUAAAGGGCGCGUAGGCGGCCUGGCCAGUCGCGUGUGAAAGGCCUCGGCUUAACCGAGGCAGGGCGCGCGACACUACCAGGCUGGAGGACGGGAGAGGGCAGUGGAACUCUCGGUGUAGGGGUGAAAUCUGUAGAGAUCGAGAGGAACACCGGUGGCGAAGGCGGCUGCCUGGCCCGUUGCUGACGCUGAGGCGCGAAAGCGUGGGGAGC